rnacentral:tRNA from 1 species
GGUACUAUGGUCUAUCGGAGAAGAUAUAGCCCUGUCACGGCUAAGAGCCGGGUUCGAUUCCCGGUAGUACCGCCA